GGGUUGUGAGGUUAAGCGACUAAGCGUACACGGUGGAUGCCCUGGCAGUCAGAGGCGAUGAAGGACGUGCUAAUCUGCGAUAAGCGUCGGUAAGGUGAUAUGAACCGUUAUAACCGGCGAUUUCCGAAUGGGGAAACCCAGUGUGAUUCGUCACACUAUCAUUAACUGAAUCCAUAGGUUAAUGAGGCGAACCGGGGGAACUGAAACAUCUAAGUACCCCGAGGAAAAGAAAUCAACCGAGAUUCCCCCAGUAGCGGCGAGCGAACGGGGAGCAGCCCAGAGCCUGAAUCAGUGUGUGUGUUAGUGGAAGCGUCUGGAAAGGCGCGCGAUACAGGGUGACAGCCCCGUACACAAAAAUGCACAUGCUGUGAGCUCGAUGAGUAGGGCGGGACACGUGGUAUCCUGUCUGAAUAUGGGGGGACCAUCCUCCAAGGCUAAAUACUCCUGACUGACCGAUAGUGAACCAGUACCGUGAGGGAAAGGCGAAAAGAACCCCGGCGAGGGGAGUGAAAAAGAACCUGAAACCGUGUACGUACAAGCAGUGGGAGCACGCUUAGGCGUGUGACUGCGUACCUUUUGUAUAAUGGGUCAGCGACUUAUAUUCUGUAGCAAGGUUAACCGAAUAGGGGAGCCGAAGGGAAACCGAGUCUUAACUGGGCGUUAAGUUGCAGGGUAUAGACCCGAAACCCGGUGAUCUAGCCAUGGGCAGGUUGAAGGUUGGGUAACACUAACUGGAGGACCGAACCGACUAAUGUUGAAAAAUUAGCGGAUGACUUGUGGCUGGGGGUGAAAGGCCAAUCAAACCGGGAGAUAGCUGGUUCUCCCCGAAAGCUAUUUAGGUAGCGCCUCGUGAAUUCAUCUCCGGGGGUAGAGCACUGUUUCGGCAAGGGGGUCAUCCCGACUUACCAACCCGAUGCAAACUGCGAAUACCGGAGAAUGUUAUCACGGGAGACACACGGCGGGUGCUAACGUCCGUCGUGAAGAGGGAAACAACCCAGACCGCCAGCUAAGGUCCCAAAGUCAUGGUUAAGUGGGAAACGAUGUGGGAAGGCCCAGACAGCCAGGAUGUUGGCUUAGAAGCAGCCAUCAUUUAAAGAAAGCGUAAUAGCUCACUGGUCGAGUCGGCCUGCGCGGAAGAUGUAACGGGGCUAAACCAUGCACCGAAGCUGCGGCAGCGACGCUUAUGCGUUGUUGGGUAGGGGAGCGUUCUGUAAGCCUGCGAAGGUGUGCUGUGAGGUAUGCUGGAGGUAUCAGAAGUGCGAAUGCUGACAUAAGUAACGAUAAAGCGGGUGAAAAGCCCGCUCGCCGGAAGACCAAGGGUUCCUGUCCAACGUUAAUCGGGGCAGGGUGAGUCGACCCCUAAGGCGAGGCCGAAAGGCGUAGUCGAUGGGAAACAGGUUAAUAUUCCUGUACUUGGUGUUACUGCGAAGGGGGGACGGAGAAGGCUAUGUUGGCCGGGCGACGGUUGUCCCGGUUUAAGCGUGUAGGCUGGUUUUCCAGGCAAAUCCGGAAAAUCAAGGCUGAGGCGUGAUGACGAGGCACUACGGUGCUGAAGCAACAAAUGCCCUGCUUCCAGGAAAAGCCUCUAAGCAUCAGGUAACAUCAAAUCGUACCCCAAACCGACACAGGUGGUCAGGUAGAGAAUACCAAGGCGCUUGAGAGAACUCGGGUGAAGGAACUAGGCAAAAUGGUGCCGUAACUUCGGGAGAAGGCACGCUGAUAUGUAGGUGAAGUCCCUCGCGGAUGGAGCUGAAAUCAGUCGAAGAUACCAGCUGGCUGCAACUGUUUAUUAAAAACACAGCACUGUGCAAACACGAAAGUGGACGUAUACGGUGUGACGCCUGCCCGGUGCCGGAAGGUUAAUUGAUGGGGUCAGCGCAAGCGAAGCUCUUGAUCGAAGCCCCGGUAAACGGCGGCCGUAACUAUAACGGUCCUAAGGUAGCGAAAUUCCUUGUCGGGUAAGUUCCGACCUGCACGAAUGGCGUAAUGAUGGCCAGGCUGUCUCCACCCGAGACUCAGUGAAAUUGAACUCGCUGUGAAGAUGCAGUGUACCCGCGGCAAGACGGAAAGACCCCGUGAACCUUUACUAUAGCUUGACACUGAACAUUGAGCCUUGAUGUGUAGGAUAGGUGGGAGGCUUUGAAGUGUGGACGCCAGUCUGCAUGGAGCCGACCUUGAAAUACCACCCUUUAAUGUUUGAUGUUCUAACGUGGACCCGUAAUCCGGGUUGCGGACAGUGUCUGGUGGGUAGUUUGACUGGGGCGGUCUCCUCCUAAAGAGUAACGGAGGAGCACGAAGGUUGGCUAAUCCUGGUCGGACAUCAGGAGGUUAGUGCAAUGGCAUAAGCCAGCUUGACUGCGAGCGUGACGGCGCGAGCAGGUGCGAAAGCAGGUCAUAGUGAUCCGGUGGUUCUGAAUGGAAGGGCCAUCGCUCAACGGAUAAAAGGUACUCCGGGGAUAACAGGCUGAUACCGCCCAAGAGUUCAUAUCGACGGCGGUGUUUGGCACCUCGAUGUCGGCUCAUCACAUCCUGGGGCUGAAGUAGGUCCCAAGGGUAUGGCUGUUCGCCAUUUAAAGUGGUACGCGAGCUGGGUUUAGAACGUCGUGAGACAGUUCGGUCCCUAUCUGCCGUGGGCGCUGGAGAAUUGAGGGGGGCUGCUCCUAGUACGAGAGGACCGGAGUGGACGCAUCACUGGUGUUCGGGUUGUCAUGCCAAUGGCACUGCCCGGUAGCUAAAUGCGGAAGAGAUAAGUGCUGAAAGCAUCUAAGCACGAAACUUGCCCCGAGAUGAGUUCUCCCUGACUCCUUGAGAGUCCUGAAGGAACGUUGAAGACGACGACGUUGAUAGGCCGGGUGUGUAAGCGCAGCGAUGCGUUGAGCUAACCGGUACUAAUGAACCGUGAGGCUUAACCUUACAACGCCGAAGGUGUUU
rnacentral:rRNA from 1 species